GAUGGUGGUAUGUUUAACAAAACCUACGUCUCCUACUUCAAUCACGCAUCUGGAAAAUACAACCAAAGAAAAAAGGCUAACAUCUACAGGAAGGAAUCCUGAACUGGAGGUGGAGAAUGAGGAAUAAUCAACAAGUGUCUUCUCAUUCAUCUAUCAUAUUCCAAGAAAAGCAACCUACCGAAGAGCACCAUUAUACCCAUAGAAGAUUUCAUUGCUGUUAGGUUUACAUUUGUAUUUCUGAGUCAGGGCACCAUGACCACCGCUGCCUUUGCAUAGUUUGCACAAUGUAGACUCAAGAGGUGCACCCGGCGCACAGCUUUCUCUGAAGAAUGUAUCUAGCAUGGGAUCAGAGAACAAACAUUUUAAUACUUUUAUAUAUAUUAUUAUAACAUACUCCAAUUGGUUGUCGUGUUGGAUUUCAGUUUGCAUAGUCCCCAGAAAGCAUGGGAAAUGCAUCAGAUUGGGUGAUCUAGGUCUAGCAAUCCUGUAGUUGUAAUAAAGCUAACUAUUGACAACUAGAUCUACAAAAUCUGGACCCAAAUCCAAAAUAUUAUUAUUGGGAAGCAUGGCCAGCUUAAAAAUGCCAACUUCAGAAUUCUGGUUUUUCAAAAUAUGUAACUGACUAUCACAUUACAAAUUAAGGAACUACCAACAGCAGGGUUCCUCAAGAGGAACCCAGAAUUUGCUCUCAGUCGUAUUAGGUUAAAAAGAAAAAACUGUGCUGGUUUUUUCCAAAGAAUGACCAGCUCCAAUAAAGAGGAUCAGUUGCAGAGGUGGUUACCAGUUUAUCUGCUGGAAAAAGUGCAUUUUGUGAUUGGUAAUGUUAAAAAAGGUAGCCAUUUUAUGAAAGGCAAGCCUUCCCAUUGGUAGCCAUUUUGUGAGGAUACAUACAAACAUACCUUCACAAAUCAGAAAGACUCUGGGAGCACCUUAUCUGAUUAAUAAAUUUUCUGAGUAAUAAAAGCCUAUCAUAAACGUA